rnacentral:rRNA from 1 species
CCUACGGGAGGCAGCAGUGGGGGAUAUUGCACAAUGGAGGAAACCCUGAUGCAGCGACGCCGCGUGUGGGAAGACGGUCCUCUGGAUUGUAAACCACUGUCCCCAGGGACGAAGAUGACGGUACCUGGGGAGGAAGCUCCGGCAAACUACGUGCCAGAGGCCGCGGUAAUACGCAGGGAGCGAGCGUUGUCCGGAAUUACUGGGGGUAAAGGGAGCGUAGGCGGGGGUGUAAGUUGGGUGUAAAAACUACCGGCUCAACUGGUAGUGGCAAUCGAAACUGCAGCUCUUGAGUGAAGUAGAGGCAGGCGGAAUUCCUAGUGUAGCGGUGAAAUGCGUAGAUAUUAGGAGGAACACCAGUGGCGAAGGCGGCCUGCUGGGCUUUUACUGACGCUGAGGCUCGAAAGUGUGGGGAGCAAACAGGAUUAGAUACCCGGGUAGUC